AUACUUACCUUGUUCCGGUUUCCCCAGCUCAAGAUUUGGGGACACCAGUUUGGAGGGCCUGCAUUGCACAGCGCGGCGUCAUUCCAUGCUCCAUUGUCCUUCGGGACCAUGGGGGGCGUAAUUUUUGAUUUAC
rnacentral:snRNA from 19 species